CUAAGAAUCUUCCUCAAUGGGGGAAACCCUGAAGGAGCGACACUGCGUGCAGGAUGAAGGCCCUUUGGGUUGUAAACUGCUUUUGUAGGGGAGAAAUAAGCGAAUGUGAUGAUAGUACCCUACGAAUAAGUCCCGGCUAACUACGUGCCAGCGGCCGCGGUAAAACGUAAGGGGCGAACGUUGCUCGGAAUUACUGGGCGUAAAGGGCCGGUAGGUGGCUUUAUAAGUCAGUUGUCAAAUACCCAUGCUUAACGUGGGAAAGGCGACUGAUACUGUAUAGCUUGAGUAGAGGAAGGGAUGACGGAAUACCCGGUGUAGGGGUGAAAUCUGUUGAUAUCGGGUAGAACACCGAUGGCGAAAGCGGUCAUCUAGCCUCAUACUGACACUCAACGGCGAAAGC
rnacentral:rRNA from 1 species